rnacentral:rRNA from 1 species
AUUGAACGCUGGCGGCAGGACUAACACAUGCAAGUCGAACGAGUGGCGGACGGGUGAGUAAUGUCUGGGAAACUGCCCGACGGAGGGGGAUAACUACUGGAAACGGUAGCUAAUACCGCAUACCAUAGGACGUGCCCAGAUUGGAUUAGCUUGUAGGUGAGGUAACGGCCCACCUAGGCGCCGAUCCCUAGCUGGUCUGAGCGGAUGAUCAGUCACACUGGAACUGAUACACGGUCCAGACUCCUACGGGAGGCAGCAGUGGGGAAUAUUGGACAAUGGGCGAAAGCCUGAUCCAGCCAUGCCGCGUGUGUGAAGAAGGUCUUCGGAUUGUAAAGCACUUUAAGUUGGGAGGCGUUACCAACAGAAUAAGCACCGGCUAACUUCGUGCCAGCCGCCGCGGUAAUAC